rnacentral:SRP_RNA from 1 species
UUGUCGGCGCAGCGCAGCGUUGGCUCUCGAACCUGGUCAGGUCCGGAAGGAAGCAGCCAUAAGGGAUGCCCAGCGGGUGCCGUUGCUCACCGGCAAUGC